GUGAGCUGGCGGACGGCCGUCGGGCUUAAGGCCUGAGGAAACUCCGCCCACCACACAGACCGCAACGCCGCAAGGCGUAGGGCGAGAGCUCUGGCUCCGGAACAGAAACGGAACGUCCACGCAGUCCGUGACGAGGAUGCGUGUUAAGUCGCUGAGUAGACUGCGUGGAAACGUUGAAACGGCCGGCCUGCGGGGUGGAAGGGCAAGUAGGCGCCGAUGAUCUUCUGUGGUGAAGGCGCGGGUUGCCCGUUCAGCUGAAUGCCGUCUAGAACAGAAGGCGGGUUACGGCCAGCACAC
rfam:Candidatus Bathyarchaeota archaeon B26-1 scaffold7616, whole genome shotgun sequence.